ACUGAGAUCGCUUAAAAGGCCCAAUUUAGUAUACUUGUCUGGCCUAACGCGAGAAGAGAUUUAUUAAAAAAUCCAAAUUUUCUGCGAUUUAAACUCUGAUACUCCGCCGUCGUCAUGUCUCUCCGUAAAACCCGAACCGCCGUGAAUAAACCGGGUUCUUCAAUCCCCGCCGGUAAUCUUAACAAUGUUUCAGAGGUCACUGGUUCUUCUUCUUCUAAAAUCACGUUUCGACCUCGUAAAUUAAGGAAAGUUUCGUCAGAUCCGAUCAUCGUCAUCACCGCGUCGUCUCCUUCUCUAUCAACCAAAUCAGCGGUUGAUGUCGCUCUCCUUCACUUAAAAAGCUCCGACGAACUCCUCGGAGCGUUAAUCACAACGCACAACGAUCCUCCAGUGUUCGAAUCAGCCAAUCCUCCGUUCCUCUCCUUAGCGAGAUCCAUCAUCUACCAACAGCUCGCGACGAAAGCAGCCAAGUGUAUCUACGAUAGGUUCAUCUCUCUGUUCGACGGCGGUGAAUCAGGUGUUCUCCCUGAAUCAGUGAUCUCACUCUCCGCCGUUGAUCUCCGUAAGAUCGGUGUCUCCGGGAGAAAAGCUAGUUACCUCCACGAUCUAGCUGAUAAGUACAAGAGCGGUGUGCUCUCCGAUGAAUUGGUUUUGAAAAUGAGUGAUGAAGAGUUGAUUGAUCGGUUAACUUUGGUUAAAGGGAUUGGAGUGUGGACUGUUCAUAUGUUUAUGAUCUUCUCGUUGCAUAGACCUGAUGUUUUGCCUGUGGGUGAUCUUGGUGUGAGGAAAGGUGUGAAAGAUCUUUAUGGUUUGAAAGAUCUUCCUGGUCCUUUGCAGAUGGAGCAGCUUUGUGAGAAAUGGCGUCCUUAUAGGUCCGUUGGUUCGUGGUGCAUGUGGAGACUCAUCGAGGCUCGUAAGACCAAAUAGCACCUAAAUGUGAAGCUUCUAUAUCGUUCGUUGUAGUACGAUUUGUUGCAAUCAAUCAUUUCAGUAAUGAUUACUGAAGACCCUGUUGUUCUUGGUCGGUUCGGACAGAUGCUCUGAUUCUGUGACGAAUAAGCUAUUCCACGCCCAUCACUUCUCUUCCAAGUUUCACUUGCUAAGAAGCGCCAACUAGUUGUAUCUUCCUUGUAUUGGGCUUGGCCCAAUAAUCAAUUGUAGACCUAGUGUGGAUCUGAUUUUGGCAAGUUACGUGUGAAGUCAACACUUUGCUUUUCUUAAUCCAUACGAAGGGAAUCUUAAAACUCGAAAGGUGUGUGUCACGCGUAAAAUUCAAUCUCUUAA